rnacentral:rRNA from 1 species
GUGUCAGCAGCCGCGGUAAGACGAACCGUCCUAACGUUGUUCGGAAUCACUGGGCUUAAAGGGCGCGUAGGCGGCUUGCCAAGUCAGGGGUGAAAUCCUGCAGCUUAACUGUAGAAGGGCCUUUGAUACUGGCGAGCUCGAGGGAGGUAGGGGUAUGUGGAACUUCCGGUGGAGCGGUGAAAUGCGUUGAUAUCGGAAGGAACGCCGGUGGCGAAAGCGACGUACUGGACCUCUUCUGACGCUGAGGCGCGAAAGCUAGGGGAGCAAACGGGAUUAGAAACCCCCGUAGUCC